rnacentral:rRNA from 1 species
AGAGUUUGAUCAUGGCUCAGAACGAACGCUGGCGGCAGGCCUAACACAUGCAAGUCGAACGUGAAGCCACCUUCGGGUGGUGGAAAGUGGCAGACGGGUGAGUAACGCGUGGGAACGUGCCUUUCGGUUCGGAAUAACCCAGGGAAACUUGGGCUAAUACCGGAUACGCCCUUCGGGGGAAAGAUUCAUCGCCGAAAGAUCGGCCCGCGUCGGAUUAGCUAGUUGGUAGGGUAAUGGCCUACCAAGGCGACGAUCCGUAGCUGGUCUGAGAGGAUGACCAGCCACACUGGGACUGAGACACGGCCCAGACUCCUACGGGAGGCAGCAGUGGGGAAUAUUGGACAAUGGGCGAAAGCCUGAUCCAGCCAUGCCGCAUGGGUGAAGAAGGCCCUAGGGUUGUAAACCCCUUUCAGCGGGGAAGAUAAUGACGGUACCCGCAGAAGAAGCCCCGGCUAACUCCGUGCCAGCAGCCGCGGUAAUACGGAGGGGGCUAGCGUUGUUCGGAAUUACUGGGCGUAAAGCGCGCGUAGGCGGAUCUGCAAGUCGGGGGUGAAAUCCCGAGGCUCAACCUCGGAACUGCCUUCGAUACUGCGGGUCUCGAGUCCGGGAGAGGUGAGUGGAAUUCCUAGUGUAGAGGUGAAAUUCGUAGAUAUUAGGAAGAACACCAGUGGCGAAGGCGGCUCACUGGCCCGGUACUGACGCUGAGGCGCGAAAGCGUGGGGAGCAAACAGGAUUAGAUACCCUAGUAGUCC